AUCUCUGCGUGACUUCCGCCAGCGUUUAGAGCGUUUUCGGGGUCCGAGUUGAAGAGCAAAACCAAGUGAAGGAAACUUCACUAAGUUCAGGGUGACAAGGGAGGAAGUACAGAGACUGCACUUUAAAUUCUGGAUGACAGACCUAUCAGGACUGAGUGGACCUUUGAGUGACAAGAUGGGGGUGUUCCAAAGAGACCAUGGCAGCCUGCAGCUAGGACUUUAAUAAACAGAGCGCUUAAAAAGCACUGUCUGGAUAUCUUCAGAGGGAAAAAGGAGAAAGUUAACUGAAUUGGUGACACUUCGGGUCUCUCACAGAGGAAGAGACCACCAAACCAACAGAAGCCACCAGGACAGCACACAGCCAUUCCAAAAUUCCAGACCAGGAUCAUUCCAGAAAAGCCUUACAUCUCAGUCCAGUAUAUGGAUGGUUUUGUAAGAUGACCUAUGAUUUUUCUGUUCCUCCUUCCUGCCCCUAACUUCAGAGAAACAGACCUAGAAAGAGGGAAGGAAGGAGUGAAAAAGCGUGCCAUACUUUAUCUUCUCCCCUUCUGUUUUAAACUAGACAAAUCUAUAUUUUAAUUAUUAUAAGUAACCAGAAAGUUAUAUGGUCUGGCCAGGAUGGCAUUAAAGAAAAUGAGAGAGAAAAGUUUAAGAUAGCAUGGUUGGAGACAAUAAGUAGAAGAAACCAAGUAGUUCAAGUUUUAUAACGCUCUAUCUUAUAAACACUCUUGAACCAAUAAUAAUGCUAUUACUGAAAUGCUACACACAAUUGAAGACUACUUGUUAGACCAAGACCUUAAAAACUUCUUUACUGAUUAUUCCCAAUGUGUGGCCCUGGUAAUCAUUGAAGAAUCAUUGUAUUGACUAUUAAACAUCUAGGGAUCACCUGUUUAAAUCAAGUUAACAAAACACUUACUUAACAAAUAUAUAUUGAUUGCCUAUUAUGAAGUAGAUGCUAUAGUAGGUGCUGGCAGUAUAAACAUGAAAAGAGACAUUGUGUGUGCAUAUUAAUAUACAGCAAAUUAAACUUCAGCCAGAGAAGUACUUUACUAGAAGGUUGAUAGAAGUGUGGUGGUAGCUUGCAGGAGGAAGCAGUUAGCCUCCUUGGAAAUGAGUAAUCUUCACAGAAAGUAUGACAUUUGACCUGCUUCUUGGAGAAGAUGCAUAUUAAACCUAUUAAAUCCAUGUCAGCCUUUAACACCUUUGCUCAGAUUAGUUUCUCGAGCUGUUUUCCCACCUGGUGAGCAGAUAAGAGCAGGACAGGAAAGUUCUGAUGAAAGGAAGAAGUGCCAGAGAGAGAAGGCCUUGCAAGCAAAGAAGCCUGACAGGCAGGAGCCCCUGAGUAUCCUAAGGAGAAGUACCAGCGAUUUAGGGAAGAAAAUUGCUGCCAGAAGUGCAGGAAAUAAAAAUUCUGACCUAGAUCA
rnacentral:lncRNA from 1 species